UACGUAGGGUGCGAGCGUUGUCCGGAAUUAUUGGGCGUAAAGGGCUCGUAGGCGGUUUGUCGCGUCGGGAGUGAAAACACUGGGCUUAACUCAGUGCUUGCUUCCGAUACGGGCAGACUAGAGGUAUGCAGGGGAGAACGGAAUUCCUGGUGUAGCGGUGAAAUGCGCAGAUAUCAGGAGGAACACCGGUGGCGAAGGCGGGUCUCUGGGACGGUACUGACGCUGAGACGCGAAAGCGUGGGGAGCGAACAGG
rnacentral:rRNA from 1 species